rnacentral:tRNA from 1 species
AGCAUAGUGGCUUAGUGGAAAAAGCAAGGGCUUGUGAGUCAGAGGUCAUGGGUUCUAAUCCCGGCUCUGCUA